GCAACUUUAGUUUUCUCUGUUUUUCUUUUGUUUAUGAGACACAAGUCUCAUUCCUUGCUGAGACAGUCGGUCGUCCCCUGCCCAUUCCAAGCAAGGAAUAGCUCUCCACUCCCCGUCCGGACGUAGAUUUACCCUCCUCAUUGACGGGUGGGGUUGUAUAUAUUUUUGGGUUGGUUUUUUUAUUGCAUGCAGGUGUGGGGUUAUUGUGAGGAUUUCUAUGGUGACCUGCGAUGGUUUCUUUGGUUUGUGGCUUUGGUUUCCUAUUUUAUGGCUGCAAUCAUCUAUUGAUGGAUGUUUGGGUCUACUUUAGAGGUUUUGAUUUUAGUGGGUAUGGCAACUCCGGGAACUCUCUAAUGCUCCUUGUUAGUUUCAAAUCCUUUUAUGGCUCAAAUGCAUAGAGCUCUAACAUACUGCCCCUGAGAAUUUGCUGAGUUUGAUCCAUGGUUAGGAUGGUGCUGGAGCUAUGCGACGUUGAAUCUAUCUAGGGUUUCUUUUGUGGUCUUGAAUGAGCUUUAUUUUGGUUGCUAACUAUUGGUGUGAGGCCGCCCUAUACUUGUAUACUUAGGUUUGACGUUGGUCAUCGUUUGAUGCGUUGAUUUUUUUUGCUACCG
rnacentral:misc_RNA from 1 species